GAUGAACGCUGGCGGCGUGCCUAACACAUGCAAGUCGAGCGAGAAGUAAAGAAAUGAAGCUUCGGUAGAUUUUCAUUAUGGAAAGCGGCGGACGGGUGAGUAACGCGUAGGCAACCUGCCCUGUACAGGGGGAUAGCCACCCGAAAAGGUGAUUAAUACCCCAUGAUGCAAGAGAUACACAUGUAUCACUUGUCAAAGAUUUAUCGGUAUGGGAUGGGCCUGCGUCUGAUUAGCUAGUUGGUAGGGUAACGGCUUACCAAGGCAACGAUCAGUAGCCGACCUGAGAGGGUGAUCGGCCACAUUGGAGCUGAGACACGGUCCAAACUCCUACGGGAGGCAGCAGUGGGGAAUAUUGCGCAAUGGGGGAAACCCUGAUGCAGCAACGCCGCGUGAAGGAAGAAGGCCUUCGGGUUGUAAACUUCUGUCCUAGGGGAAGAAACAAAUGACAUUACCCUUGGAGGAAGCCCCGGCUAACUACGUGCCAGCAGCCGCGGUAAUACGUAGGGGGCGAGCGUUAUCCGGAAUUAUUGGGCGUAAAGAGUGCGUAGGUGGCAUCUUAAGCGCAGGGUUUAAGGCAAUGGCUCAACCAUUGUUCGCCUUGCGAACUGGGGUGCUUGAGUGCAGGAGGGGAAAGUGGAAUUCCUAGUGUAGCGGUGAAAUGCGUAGAUAUUAGGAGGAACACCAGUGGCGAAGGCGACUUUCUGGACUGUUACUGACACUGAGGCGCGAAAGCGUGGGGAGCAAACAGG
rnacentral:rRNA from 1 species